AUGGUUGUAGCAUGCUUCCUCUUGCUAACCAUCAUCCUAUUCCUAGCAACAGCCAGCAGCACCACCACCUCCUCCUCCGUCGUCAUCAACGCAAGCCAAACAUCCCACGGGGGCUGCAUCCCGGCCGAGAGGGCCGCGCUGCUCUCCUUCAAGGCCGGCCUCACAGGCGAUCCGGACAAUCGUCUCGUCUCGUGGCAACAAGGUGCACAUACGGACAACUGCUGCCGGUGGACCGGCAUCACCUGCAGCCGCCGGACAGGCCACGUGAUCAAGCUUGACCUCCACUACGAUGAUCCAAUGGUGUAUUAUUUAUCUGAUGAUGAACCUGAGAGCCACUCACUGCGUGGUCAGUUAUCUCCUUCUUUGCUCGCUCUCCGACGCCUCAAAUAUCUCGACCUUAGCCAGAACUAUCUCCUCGGAGAUGCAAAGGAUAUGCCGGGAUUCUUGGGCUCUCUUCAGAGUUUGAUUUAUCUCAACCUCUCCAAGAUGGGUUUUCAGGGCAGAGUGCCUCCUCAGCUAGGCAACCUCUCCAACCUAGUACAAAUUGACAUACAGCGCAAUAUUAUGGGCGCCGGUUAUCAAUACUCACACGAUAUAUCUUGGUUGGCGCGUCUCCGCUCGCUAGAACAUCUCAACAUGGGCUGGAUCGACCUUAGUGGAGUUGUUGACUGGGUCCAUACGGCCGGCGCACUUCCUAAUUUGGCUGUACUGAUUCUGUUUCAAUGUGGCCUUACUAAUAGUAAUGUUCCAUCAUCGUUUGUACACCACAACCUUACAGUUCUUGAAGAGGUUGACCUCACUGGUAACCAAUUCAGCAGUCCAGAUACACCCAACUGGUUAUGGAAUGUAACUAGCCUCAGGAGCCUAAGGUUAGAGAAUUGUGGAUUAUCAGGCACGUUUUCUAACAAGCUGGGAAACUUGACCUUGUUAGAGACCUUUGCCUUUGGACUCAACAACGUUGAUGGGAUGAUACCAGGAACACUGAAAAAAAUGUGUAAUCUAAGGUCUCUAGAUCUCACCGGCAACGACAUCAGCAUGGACAUAAAAGAGUACAUUGGCUUUUCUGAUAAUAAUUUGGAAGUUAUUAUUGACUCGCAUUGGGUACCUCCGUUCAACUUGGAAUCAGCAUGGUUAUCAUCUUGUCGUUUGGGUCCCAAGUUUCCUAAAUGGCUUCGAUGGCAGAAAGGCAUUCGUGAACUUGAUAUUUCAAACACAGGUCUAGUUGAUAGGCUACCAGAUUGGUUUUGGGCUACCUUUUCCGAAGUUACAUGGUUGGACAUCUCCUGGAAUCAACUAAGCGGCGACUUACCAGCAAAUCUGGAGUUCAUGUCAGUGAUUACACUGUUGAUGCAGUCAAAUCUACUGACUGGUUUGAUACCCAAGUUACCAAGCACAAUUAAGGUAUUGGACAUAUCCAGAAACUUCUUAAAUGGGUUUGUGCCAAAUUUGGGAGCUCCAAAUUUGCAAGUUGCAGUUAUGUUUUCCAAUGCUAUAUCGGGACUGUUCCGACUUCAAUUUGUCGAUUGCGGAAAUUGCGGAUCUUAG
rnacentral:rRNA from 1 species